rnacentral:lncRNA from 1 species
UGUUGAUUUAAAGCAGAGCCUGUCGUGCCCAGCGGAAGGAUGAGUAAUACGUGCUACAUACUCUAUAUUGCUUUAUUUACAGUUCAAAGCUGGUAUAUUACAGAAAGACAUCUUGCCUCUGCAGGAGCAGAAAAUGCAUCCUCUCUCCUCGACAGCUCGGAGAGAAUCACACAGUGAAAAACAGGAAACCAGUGUACGUCACAUCCAGUCUCCCUUUCCCGUGAGAAACUCCAACAGUACAGACUGUGGAAUGUAAACACCUGUCUUGUGACUGCAGUUGCUGCUCAGUGAAGGAAAUAGAAACCAACAUCCUCCCCCUUUCUGUGAACAUCACUGGGCAGCGUGUUCGCACAAUAUCAGUACAAACCCAACUUCUGCACAUAGGUACAGUGUUGAUCCCUUGAUACAAUCUUGGACAAUACAUCAGCAGGAAUUUCAUUACCUGGCAUAUAGGACACCGUUACGAGUCCCUUCUGAAUACAUUCCCUAGCAUGCUGCAACUUUAAUUGUAAGUGCUUUGUGCUUUGCUUACAACCUUCAGACUUCAGCAAAGCCAAACAUGCUUUGUUGUCCUGGUAAACCUGGAUUGGACAUUUGACAGGAAUUUUCAUAUCUUUGCACAAUUGUACUAACCAUUCACAAUCCUUAAGUGAAUAAGACAGUGCAUUCAGUUCAGCUUCACAAGUACUUAAGCUAACUGUUGUUUGCUUCUUGCAUGACCAAUCAAACAGACUCUGAUUGUACAUGUAGCAAACUCCAGACGUACUUUUCCUGUCUGUAGUGUCACUUCCAAAACUUGCAUCUGCAAAUAUCUCAAGACCACCAGACUUCUGAUUGUUAAAUCUCAGUCUGUAAUGCAUAGUGCCUUUCAAAUACCGCGCUAUGCGUUUCAGAGCUUUCCAAUCCUUGACACUAGGAUUGUUGACUUGUCUGCUUAGCAAAUUACAGCUAACAGCAAUGUCUGGUCUUGAACAUCUGGCAAUGAAGUUUAGCUUGCCUAGCACACUCCUGUACAGUGUAGUGUCAGAAAAUGCUUCUUCAGUGUCAUCUACCUGAUAACCUGUUGUCAUCGGUGUGUCUACAGGGUUAGCAUCCAUCAGAUUUAGUUUGCUUAACACAUCAGCAAUUUUCCGUGACUGGUGUACUAGAAUGUUACCAUCUUGAUCUCUCUCUAUUUCCAGAGAUAGGUAGUUGUUUACCUCACCAAGAUCUUUCAUGUCAAAGUGCUCUUUCAGUUGAGCUAGGCGCUAUUGUACAUUGCAACAUCUUUCC